UUAUGUGUGCUCCACUUCAGGUUCGCUAGUGUUCCCUGCGCUUUGGACUGGAAAUUUCUGUGUUCGUCAGCCUUGUGCCCAGUGCAGUUGUUACAUAGCACUGCAUGGGCAAACUGCCCUCUGUUCCUUCUUUAUUGCAGAGCCCCAUCGCCAAGAACUCUGAAGCAGAGGGGACGGAGAGCGGGUAGUGGAGCACCCAUAGGGGAACACAUCUUGAAGAACCACAAUUACUGCACAGGGGGAGUAACCAUUCCUCCUCCUCCUUCAAGUAGCGUCCCCAUGGGUGCUCUACGUGACUAUGGAGCAGUGCCAUCUAAGGUGGAAGAGGCUUCGGAGCUGAGUCCAAUACGGUGGAAAAUACAGUCGAGCUGAACACAGUAUCAGAGGUGGAGUCGUGAGUUAUUGCGUAGUGUUGGGAGAAUGUAUGGAUGGAUGGAUGCCCUAAUAGUGGCUCUACAGAUGUUGAUGAUUGGUAGGUUUCUGAAGAAGGCCAUGGAAGUGGCAACAGAGCUUGUAGAAUGAGCGUGAAAGUGAAGGUGGCUGAAUGUUACAAGACUGGUAACGAGUUAAUGCAGUCUGAUAUCCACUUGGAAAGUCUCUGGCUAGAGACUGCUGACCCUUUUGAUCUGUCUGCUAUCGAGAUGAAUAACUUGUUGAUCUUUCUGAAGGGCUUUGUUCCGUCUAGACAAAAUCCAGGGUAUGCAGCAGUGUGUCCUGGGAAUUCAGAUGCGAUUUGGGGUAGAAGACAGGCAAAUGAAUGGGUGAUAGAAAUGGAACUCAAAAGAGAACUUAGGUAAGAAUGUGAAGUGGGGCCGCAGUGUGACCUUGUCCUUAAAACACUGUGAAGGGGGAAUAUGCCAUUAGGGCCUCUAUUUCUCCAACCCAUUGCACUAUCAGGGAUGCCAUCUUCAUUGCAAAUGGAGCAGUGAGCAGGUAGCCAGAGGUUUAAAGGGCAGUCUUGUGAGGCAUUUGAGGACCAGACUGAGGUCCGAUACUAGGGUAGGGAACUGGACCGGAAGAUAAAAAAUUUCUCUUCCCAUCCCUCCAAGGAAUCUUGCUGUGGUCGGGUGGGUAAAGACGAAAUAGCCCUCUGUUGGGUGGUGAAAAGCCAUGAUGGCUGACAGGGAGACUCUUAUGGAGCUCAUCAAUAGACCCGUGGUUUUCAGAGCUAGGGUGUAGUCUAGUAUAUCCAGAAGCGAUGUAGUCAUUGGUGAAAGCUGCCCGUGGUCAGACCAACUGGCAAGCCACAUCCAUUUUUCAGAAUACAUGUAGUGAGUAGAUUGUUUCCUACUGUGUAAUAUCACUCUUUUUAUGUUCUCUGAGCAGGCUGCCUCGAAUCGCAUGAGCCAGCAACAACUAUGCUUUGAGACCAAGCAUCGUGACAUUGGGAUGAAAAAAAUCUUCCUGCACUCUUACGAGACGAGAUGGGGAGUGAUGCAGAGAGUGAUCAGAGGGCAAACAGAUAGCUGUAUCAGGUAGGCAGAAUAGAAGCUGAAGCCAGAUCUAAAAGAGCUGUCUAAAAGAGCCUCAUUUACAGGGAUGGAGGAGGACGCAUGACUGCUUCAUCUGUAGAUGAAGAGGAAAUGUUCCUGUAAGAGAAACCUCUUCACUGGCUUCCUGC